UGGGACAGGCUGAGCGUCCGGUCGGUCGUCGGAUUGAAUUGGGUUUAUGUUGCUUCUGCACCUGAAGAUGAGAAAUUUGCUGCUGCCUUUGAAGAGGUCUCUUGAACAAGACACAUAGCUUGUCAAGUCACAAACAGUGGGGCUCUACAGGAUACAACCUGACUGAACUUUGUGGUUUAGAAAAUGAAAGAGUUUUAUUCAAAUGUCUAUUUUUCUCCUAUUUUAUAUGAGCUCAGCACAUUAUAAAGAAGACAGAGAGGGCAGAGCCCAUCAGUAAUUACAAAUUCUAUCAACCUUGUUAAGGAAAAUGGAAGGAUGAAACUGCAUUGCUGCAACAUUCUAAAGCAAUCAGCACACAGAAUUGAGCUGUCACAGUUGACAACCAUAAGUCUACCCAAGCCUGAAGCAGAUGGAGCUACCUCAUUACUGGAUGCAGCCUACCAGUUAAUAAAUAAAUAUAUUUAGCUUGUAUUCAAAGAUUAGAAGAAAUAGAUAUUGUUUUAAUUAUCUGACAAAGAAUUUGGGUAAUGAUUAAUAAGAAAGAAAACAAAUACUGCACCUGUAAUACAAUAUGCAGCCUGUAACUUAAAUCAAAUGGAUACUCCAAAAAUGAAAAGGAACUUCAAAGAGAUGCUGUUAACAUGACAACAAUGCAUUUCAGUCAGAAAGCAAUUGGUUGUUUACGGUGUGAAAGGAACUAGUUUCUCAUUAGUUUACUUUUAGUGAUAUGAAUUUUGUAGGUCUAACUGUUUUGUUCAAAUUCUGACCCUUUUCCAACACCUGAAGAAGUGCUAGAAUAACUACCUCUAAAAAACAGUAGGAGAUAAAGACACAGCAGGAAAUCAUCCCCACAGAGGAAGGCAGGGAUCAUGGCAUGAAAAACCAUGGAAAUGCCUGAAUUCAUUAUGAUGUAGUUUAACAACUUUCUGGAUAGCAAGUUAAAAAGAAAUAAAUAUAUGCAUUGAAUUUUAGUCACUGAUGACUUGUGAUCAUUUGAGCUGGUAUGUCCAUUCCCCAGUGAACUCAUGAAGGAAAGAAAAUAGCUCUGCUUCACUCCAGGGUUCUUAUGUAUGGAUGGAUCCCAAAUUAGGAAUGAAACA